rnacentral:lncRNA from 1 species
UUCUCCACAAAGCAAGAGAGAGUCCUGUUAGCAGAUUUCCUGCCUCACAGAUUGAAUCCCAGGUUCCCACCUAGGAACAGGAGAGCCCAGGCUCCUCCCCGCUGCAAUGGGCUAGAACUUCCUGUGGCUCCACCCCAUCCUCCCAGUGCGCAUGCUUGUCGGAGAUUCUCAGGCGACCUUCCCUCUUAUCUUCCUCUUGCAUUUAUCAGAAGUGCUGAACCCUUGACGUGCCUUAUCUUAUUUGCUCCUCACAACAAAUCUUAUGAGAUGCAUCACUACCAGAAGUUGUCCAGAAAGAACUGUGACCGUAUGUUUUAAUUAAAUAAUUUUUCAUCCAGUUUUUUUCUUUGCAUAUAAAGAAACAGAAUCCUGACAUCUGAUUGAAUUAUUGGCUCUCCUGAUGGUUGCACGAUGGCUGCAGCAGUUCCAGAUGUCCCAUCGAGACACAAAAAGAUCCCAGAUGGAAGAUGCCAUCUCCUCCUAUGUGCCUCUUUUUAAGAGUUACACAGGAGUGAGGAGGACCACCAAACCAAACUAAGACUCGGAGGAAAAAAAAAAAAGAAAAAGAAGAAAAUGUCUGCUAGGUGCCAUGCCACUCAAACAGCCAAUGGAAAGGCCCACGUGGCGAGAGCUAAGGCUUCCUGCCAACAGGCAAGUGAGGAAGCCCAGUCAGCUGCCUGCAGUCCUGACCCAUGAAGAGCCUGACUGAAAGUGAAUGAGCAACCCUGAGCUAGGACAACCCAGCAAGGCCCAUCCUGAAUUCCUGCCCACAAAAACUCUGAGACAGUAAAUGUUCGUUGUUUUAAACCACAAAGUUUUGAAGUAAUAGAUUAAUUAGGUAACCAAUUGGGACUGCAGUAUUCCUUCAGGGAACUUGAAUAGUCAUUCUGUAUAUGGAAAUUGUACACAUCUUAAAAUUGCUGGACUAAAGUGAGAAGAGACUGUCUUGAGUCAACUGGAUAAAGUGGAAAAAAAAUUAAUUUGGAAAUCAAUAGAAUUCUGGCCUUGGCUUUGUCACUAAGAAACACUUAUAAGUAAUUUCACUUCUCUUGAAAUUAUGAUCAUUAUCUAUAACAUAAAGGAACUGAGCUAAAUGUUAUCUGAUGCCUCUUUAGGCUCUCAAACUCCAUAGAUUUAUGACAUGCUUGAAAUUCACUUUGUUUCACCCUAAUUCAGAGCUUUGUUUCACUAGCUCUAGAAUUAGAUGCCUUGGGUUUAAAUUGCAAUUCAGUCACUUAUUUAAAUAAUUGUACUUGGAUGAGUGAUGUUGCCAUUUUAAGCCUCAGUUUCCCCAUAGAUUCAUUGAGAAGAUCAAAUAAGAUGAUGCAGAUAAAGCUCUUAGUUUGUGGGGACACUUAGUAAGUGCUUAAUAAAUACAGGCAGUUGUGUUAUCUAUGUUGUAGCAGCACAUUUUGUAAAAUAAAACAAAGUUGAAAUCACAGAUCUAUAUUUUUAUGUA